rnacentral:lncRNA from 1 species
GUAGAAUCUUUUUUAUUCAGAAAAAAUAAAACAAUCCUCCCAAAAAAGUUUUACAACCACACAGAGGAGGGGUAUGGGUAGGGGAAGGUGUCUGGCCAUCAGCCCUGUACCCCAGCCCAUGUGGUUUUGGCAGCAAUAAGGGGUGUGGGGUAAUGGCCCCCAAAAUAAAAUGGUGUAUGGGGAGGGAAGGGAUACAAAGCUGUGGGGAGCGGUGAAGGGCAAGGGACAGACGAGGUCAGUACUGGGAACGCCGAAGGUGGGAGGCCAUUUCAUAACAUUUCUUGUUGAUCAAACCACCGUGGACACCUUCUUUGCCCAUCAGCAGGACUAGCGUCUUGUCAGUCUUGGUGACAGUGACAUUGAAGGUGGGGGCUCCACCGGUACUCUUGGUAUACGAAGAUCCAUGCAAAAUUCCCCAUCCUGCAGCAGUGAGUCCCGGAUCACCGAACAUUUCUGGCCCCCAAGUGUCAGCCCAUUCACAAAAAAACUUGACCUGUCUUUGCCAGCCAGGACACCAACCUCAGCUGGCGCGAUGUUGGCGAAGGUUUUCCCGGGGACGGCGGCCCAGAUGGAGGGCGAGUCCUUGUAGCCCACGAUGGCCACGUCCUGACAGGUCCCGUCCGCCAUAAGGUUGUCGAUGUCGGCGUCCACCCGGCCAUGGCGCUGCUGCUGGGGCAGCGGGCUGGGCUCGGGCUGCCUGGGCUGGCGGGCGGUGGGAAGCGGAGAGCUCGGGGCACGCGCUGCCGUCUGGACCGUGGCUCUGCUCGCUGUGCAGCAGCC